GUCGAGGGAGAAGCUAUCUUCGGAUAGUGGAGACCGGCAGACGGGUGAGUAACACGUGGGAACAUACCGAGUAGUGGGGGAUAACAGUUGGAAACGACUGCUAAUACCGCAUACGCCCUUCGGGGGAAAGAUUUAUCGCUAUUCGAUUGGCCCGCGUUAGAUUAGCUAGUUGGUAAGGUAACGGCUUACCAAGGCGACGAUCUAUAGCUGGUUUGAGAGGAUGAUCAGCCACACUGGGACUGAGACACGGCCCAGACUCCUACGGGAGGCAGCAGUGGGGAAUAUUGCGCAAUGGAGGAAACUCUGACGCAGCCAUGCCGCGUGAGUGAAGAAGGCCUUAGGGUUGUAAAGCUCUUUCAGACGUGAUGAUGAUGACAGUAGCGUCAAAAGAAGUUCCGGCUAACUUCGUGCCAGCAGCCGCGGUAAUACGAAGGGAACUAGCGUUGUUCGGAUUUACUGGGCGUAAAGAGCAUGUAGGCGGAUUGGACAGUUGAGGGUGAAAUCCCAGAGCUCAACUCUGGAACGGCCUUCAAUACUUCCAGUCUAGAGUCCGUAAGGGGGUGGUGGAAUUCCGAGUGUAGAGGUGAAAUUCGUAGAUAUUCGGAGGAACACCAGUGGCG
rnacentral:rRNA from 1 species